GGAGGCGACAAGGCCCGGCAGUCCCACCGCUGUGUGCAGAGCAAAGAGGCCCGCAUCCUUCUUGCCUUCAAUCUCCCGCCAGUAACCCCAACUGUGAGAAGGUUCUCAUGAGACAGAACGUCUCCAAGGCAUCCAGGAGCUAUUACACAUGCGCUAGUCAGCACCACCGGCGGGAAGAGAAAAAUGGCGGUGGCCACUGGCAACAACAGCGUGGUUGAAAACAUGGAAAGAGCAUUUCAAGCGGAGGCUUACGGACAUCUGAAGGAAUCACCCUCCGACUCUAACUGGCGCAUCAUCAUCAGUCAAAGUUGCUGAAAAAGGGGGAAGAAGUUGUCUUACCUAUUGUGGUGAUCACAGUGAUUGCAAAGUAAAAAGAGCCGGCGAAUGUCCACUGCACGCCGGCUUUGUGCGGCUUGAGCUCCAGCACC